rnacentral:rRNA from 1 species
GACGAACGCUGGCGGCGUGCUUAACACAUGCAAGUCGAACGGAAAGGCCCUGACUUAGUGCGCUGCUCGAGUGGCGAACGGGUGAUUGACAAGUGGGUAACCUGCCCUUGACUAUGGGCUAACUUCAGGAAACUGGGGCCAGUAACGCAUAGGAACUCCCGCAUCAAGUCGGAGGUAGACAUGUUUCGGCGGUUGGGGAUUGAUUCGUGGCUUAUCAGCUUGUUGGUGGGGUAGUGGUUUACCAAGGCUUUGACGGGUAGCGGGCCUGACAGGAGGACCGGCCACAUUGGGACUGAGAUACGGCCCAGACUCAUACGGGAGGCAGCAGUGGGGAAUAUUGCACAAUGGGCGGAAGCCUGAUGCAGCAACGCCGCGUGCGGGAUGACGGCCUUCGGGUUGUAACGCGAUUUCGCCUGUGACGAAGAGUUAGUGACGGUAAUGUGUAAAGAAGCACCGGCUAACUACGUG